AUACGGAGGGUGCAAGCGUUGUUCGGAAUUAUUGGGCGUAAAGAGCAUGUAGGCGGUUCGUUAAGUCUGAUGUGGAAGCCCGGGGCUCAACCCCGGAAGUGCAUUGGAUACUGGCGAACUUGAGUACGGGAGAGGAAAGUGGAAUUUCGAGUGUAGGGGUGAAAUCCGUAGAUAUUCGAAGGAACACCAGUGGCGAAGGCGGCUUUCUGGACCGAUACUGACGCUGAGAUGCGAAAGCGUGGGGAGCAAACAGGAUUAGAUACCCCAGUAGUCC
rnacentral:rRNA from 1 species